CAGACUAUAUGUUAUGAUUGAAAUUGUAUUUAUAAUUAUCAGAAAUUAGAUCUGUUAAAUCUUCAUACAGGGUUUCGACGCUGCCAUAUUUCCCAGUAUUAAAAUUUUCCCAGUAGGCAAAGAGAGUAGAAGUAAAAUGAGAAGUGCUUUUCUUUUGAUUUUCUGCUUAUUUAUCGGUUGCCAAUAGAAACGAUUUGAAAGGGACCAUUUGUGAUUCUGUGUGUAACAAUUCAAUUAGUAAGUAAAGGUUAAGGUGAGGUUUUUUAGCUAACCGUUUAAGGCGGGAGUGGUAACUUUCAAUGGAACUGUUAGUUCGAAUUGGCUGCAUGAAUACCGACCAUGACUUCGGUCGCCACACAGUGCUGUUUAGCCAUGUCUUUUCCAUAUAAUCAAAUAGAUAUGCUCCCUUCCUCUCUAUAUAUAGAUAUAGAACAUGCUCCAAGAAUGAUGUUCAAAUCCACAUCUUGGGAAAGAAAAAUGUAAGAAUUAUUUCAUUCGCAGUUAAUGUAUAGUAGGCCUACUUUUGGGUUUGGGGUUUUAAAACUUUACCGUUUUGUUUUAGCGUUGUUAUUCAGCUUCCCUUAUCUUUGACUCUUUUUAUACAUUUAACACAUUAUUUUUGAUAUUUUCCGGAACGAUACAAAAGGAGAGAAGGAAACAGAGAACUAGGAACAGGAAUUUUUGACAAUUUCAUCUUGUAAUCGAACAUUUUCUUUUCCCUUUUCUUUCUUGGCCACUUUAAUCAUCUUGUUCCUCAUUCUCGGUGAUGCUGCAAUCUGUGAAAAUGCUUGAUAGAUCGCUAAUAAGGGCUAAUAUUUAUUAAAAUUUAGAGCUUAUAUUACCUAAAAAAAAAUACAUUAAUUUAUAUUCAACUUCAUUCCUACAGGUAAACUCACCUUUCAAUUCACCAUAUUUAUUUUACAUUUCAGGAACGGCUUCUUCUGGAAGACACAUUUCAUCCAUUCCAGGUUUUUGAGCUUCAUCUCCAGAAUCUUUACGGCUCCUGCCUGAUCUCCGUACAUAUCAUCAUCCUGGAUUUGAUCAACUUCAAGAUCCGAUUGGUCUUGUUCGAAAAGAUAACGUGUCAAAUUACCUUACUGAAAUUGAUGAGAAUAAUUAAAGAUGAUAACACUAGUGUUGGUUGAUUGUACCCCCGAUUUUUUCUGGGACUGAGCUGUACAGAGGUAUGAUAUGCGAAUAAGGGCCCGACAACCCUCCAAUAUCUUCGGAUGGAUUGAGAUGCAUGUAUCCUAGAAGAAAUAACUCUCUAUAUCCGUCACUAAUAUGGCAGCCAUCGUAAUAAUUGAGAGGUCCAAAGAAGAUUUGAGAUAUUGUCUCUGUGGUUGAGCCGGUAAACUAUUGGUCUACUCUGUUCUUAAUUAUUUGUCAAGCAGCUGGAGGGGGGACAUAUCGUAUUCACCACAUUACUGGGCUUUGGCGUCUCUGGAGGAUGGGCAUAGGUUUUAAUUGCCACAAGAGCAACCUCAUAAAAUAAAGAAUAAUAUGCAAAAGAAGAAGGGCAUGAAGCGGGUCAAGAGACAACAGAGCAUGGAAACGAGAGAAGACAAAGAAGGAAUGCAAACCACCACCUAUAACUUCUUGCAGAGAUGUGUCUAAACCUAUUAGAAAAUCAGCAGGAAUGUGACUAAAUUUGUGUUGAAAGAUUCGAGUCUGUGAGUUGAGUGUCAAGUCUGUUUACCUAUUUUCUCUUUUAUUCAAGUGGUUGUACAUUGAAUUUCUCAAACUCUGUGGGUAAGAUCUUUAAUAUAUCUUCGCAUCAAACGGUUCUUCCUAAGCACAGGUGAAAAUGAUGGUGAAUUCGUCAAUCAGCAAAGGAACAUGAUUGCAUUUUGUAAUCAAACCAAUUGCGAGAAAUUUUUAGCUAUGUUGGGCCGAUUUGAAUGUGAUUUAUUUAUUUUUCGAUAAGAUGAGAAGAAGGGUGAGACGAAGGUGGCAAAAGACGUCAAAAUGGGAAGAUCUGGAAAAAAAAAUUAAAGCUCCGAAGAGAACCAGAACUUCUCAUCCCAUAUUUUGUCAAAAAAAUUAGAGCCACGACCAAAUCCAGAGGUGCUUUGGAAAAGUAUCAGAUGAACACGACGAUAGCCUAAAUUUACCAGUAGUAGCAAAGCAAACAGGGGAGAUUUUUCAUUCAUCCUAGUAAAUUACUGAAACUCAAAGAGCAUACGUUUCCAUCUCUUGCACCAACAUCAAUUUAGUGACGCACGUAAAUAUCAAACGUGCUUUUAGCACAGAGAAAGACAUAAAAUCAGCAAAACUAACACAAUUAAAGUAGCCCUAUUUCAAUUGCUCCUCUUCAUUUAAAAUAAUUUUCAUCUUCUUUACAUUUCUUAUGAUGAUCCAGCGGGAUCAGUCGUGCCAGCUUGUCAAUGUCAUGUCAUUUAUGUAUAUCUGUGACAGCAUUUAGUAAGGAACAUACAGAUAUAUACAUAGACUCAAUCAACAAAAUGAUCCUACAGCCGAAGACAACAAGCACUCAUCGAUGUCCUUAUACUGCAUUUUAAAUAUUCCGAGGAGCUCCAAGUAGUAAGUAACGAAGCUAUUAUAAAUUGAAUUCGUAUUUUUUUCGAAUAGUCAAUUACAUUUUCCUGAUUUAUUUCUAAACGGGUAAGUAUUUAUCGACUCUUCAUUUCAUUUAACAGUUACAAUUGAUAAAAUCAUAAAACUUGGUGAAGGAUCUUUGGGAACAGUUUACAGAGGAAAACGCAAGGGCAUUCCCGUUGCUGUUAAAGAAAUUUAGUUACAAAACAUGGAUACAAAACUUUUUUAAAGAGAAGAAAAAGAAAACAUUUUGGUGGAACACAAAAAUGUGUUGAAAUUAUGGGACAUCCGUCAUUCCAAUGACAAUAGUUUCUUGUAUAGCUGACAUAUGAAAAUCUAUUUUAUAAUAAAAAGAAAUUAAUUUCUUCUAUUUAUUAUUGCAGGCAAUGGGUAUUAGAGUUGUGUGCUGGAACACUUAAAGACCACAGCGUUGGGAAUUUAGUGCAUCGCGAUCUUAAACCUGAAAAUCUGCUCAUCUCAGUGACAACACCCGUACAAAUGAAAAUAUCCGAUCUCGGUUUUGUUAAAAGAACAGACGAGAAUGGCUGCUUUUCUCAGAGUGAAAUCAGAGGAAGUCGUUUAUGGAUGGCACCUGAAAUGCUAGAAAAUUUUGAUUUAACUUGUCUUCUUCCCAAGGAAAUGUUUGCGGUCGACAUAUAUUCCAUGGGUUUCAGUAUUCUUUCAUAUAUCAGGAGGGUUUCAUGCUUUCUUCAGGGAAGGUAAAAUUUUGUAUAUGAAAAAUUUUGAACUGGUUCGAGGAAAAAUCAUUGGGAAUGAUCCUGUUGUGCUACAUUGCUGUAAAGAUUGUUUAACGCCUCUACUUUUUAACUUGAUUGGAAAUAUGAUCAAACCCAAAGAAGAAAGGACAAAUUUACCUGAAGUCAUAAAAAUAUUGAGAAAAGAAUUGUUUUCUUCGCGUUAGUGUAACUUUUCAUUGUGAAAUCCCAAAUAAUCGGUUUUUGCUAUCCAAACAAGGUCAAUUCAAAGUAGUGAUGCUGUCUGUGUUGAAAGAAGGAGUUUCUGUAAAUCGCUUCCACCCUAUCGAACCAAUUCUCGUCUGCGGCUUUGAUGAGCAAUUGGUUUGUUUUUCUGCGGAAAACUUUUCCAUUCCUUGUUCUAAUUGGAAGAUGGAAAAAAAUCAUCUUUGCAGUCUCAAUACAAAAACAAUUCAAGCAAUGGAAUGGAAUUGGACGGAUCCCAAUUGGCUGCCAUCUUUGGUAAAAGUCACGUCAUUGCAUGGGAUUACUUAAAACGCGAAAUUUUGGUUUCUAUUAAUUUACCGAAAAGUAUUAAUAGCAUCGUUUGGAAACCCAUCAGACAAAAUAUCUGUGCUCUUUUUCAUCCCUUGAUUGGAAACACAGUUAUUUUCUUGGAUUCCUCAUCUGUCGAAAGGGGGAUAAUUCCUUCCUCUUAGAGAAUGGCGACAUUGAUGUUUAUGUUAUUUGCGAAUCAAAAGAGCCGGAAGUCGUAAAAAAAUUCAAACACGACGAUUGCGAAUCUGAUAUGUAAUGAGACUAUAAGACGAAGUAUUUGGCCACUUUUUCUUGUGAUGAAUGUAUGAAGAUUUGGUCAAUGGACAGUGACCAACUCGUUCACACCCUGAAGAUCAACCCUGGAUGUCGCAUUUUUUCUUGUUGUUUGAAGGAGAAAAAACAGAAGAGAAGGGAAUAGACGCGACCAGAAUAUUUGCGAAAAACUUAUUUGUGCUGGUGGAAUGGACAACGGGCAGAUUGUUGUGAGGACUGAUUUUGAAGAGAAUAUAAACCAAAUUCUUAAUCAAUAUUACCUUUCAAUACUUUCGCUUUCUUUUUCACCUGGUGGGCGCUUUCUGUCGGCAUUGGAUGCAAGUGGAAAAAUAGUUAAAUCAGGUAAAACAAUAAAUUAUGUAUGAUGAAUCAUGAAUGUUGCGCAAUGUCCGUCUGCAUCAAUUGAUAUUUAAUUAUAUCAGGAAAUCAUGUGUUUGGUGUCAUGAUAGCAUAUUCAUUAUAAGGUAGCAUUCUUGGCCACAGAGGGACCUAAUUACCCUAAUGAGCCUUUAGAGCCAAUUUGCCCAAUGUCACCCUUGUUUCCUUUUGCUCCGUUUAAACCAGAUCACCUUGGUCGAUUGUUCAACAUCUCCCUUUGGACCUGUUUCCCCAGGGGGUCCGAUAUAUGGUGAGAUGGGUCGACAUCCCCCUCUAUUUCAUUCGAUGGACCAGUGUCUCCCUUUUGUCGAAUGUCUCCCUUUUCGCCUGAGAAUCCGAAUGUGCCAUUUACAUUUGUUUCUUCUAUACAUUUGUACAAGGUCAAAUAUUUAGAUAAUACCAAAUUUCAAACUGAUAUAAUGAAAUAAUUAAGAAAAAAGUAUUUCUAUCGUAAGAAUUUGUAUGCUAACCCAAUUCUCUCUUAUCACCUUAAGUUCUGACGGCUCCAACUCCAAUUUCUCUCUUGCUACCGCCCAGGUGGCACACAUCCCUGCAACAGACUCUGUUUCCCAUUUUCUGGGAAACAUACUGAAAACAGAUCUGUAACACCUCUGAAUUAGGUGUGAUUUUCAAUGUCUGUAAUCUGCAUUUAACACAUGCCUGU